GGUUUGGAAUCGCGACGAUGGACGAGAUAAUGAUGUACGAGGACCUGUGGAUGGACGAGGUCCUGUUUGUGAACGGUUGCUGCAAUCCCAAGAUGUCAGCGUCCGACUCACUUGCCCUAUCCAGAAAAGAUCGGUACCUUCUUCUUGUCUUCUUAGUCUUCCUCUUGUUUCGUUGGAAUUCAGCAAAGAAAUAAUCCGCUAUCCUCUUUCGUUCUGUCGUUCUGUGUCCUGUUAUAGCUAGAAAUUUAUGCCUGAUGAGCACCUUCCUCUGUUGUUGUUUUUCUCUAACGAUGAUUCGAUGAAAAUUUAUGAUCUGGGGAGCAUAGAUAUGAGACCGGACUAGUAUAUUUUGUUUCAAGGAAUGAUAUAUAGUCUGUGACUUUAGCACCCUGAUCUGUAACUUCAGAAGCAGGGCCCUGUGCCAACAACAAAAACAUUGAUUGCAUUGUUUGCUCUUUGUGCAGACAGCGAUGCUUGGAGUACACAGCUGGUACCGGAAUUUGCUAAGCUUGGCAUAGUAUGCACAUGGUUGAAUGAGCAUGAAAUGAGAUUUUCAAUUGAUCCAACAAUAGACAUUCCGCGCAUGGAUGUCGCUAGCAGGGCUCAGGAUUCUCUUGAUGCUUUCAUAAGCGGUUUCUCGGCAGAGACGAUGGCAGGCAUUGAAAGUACUGUCGGGCGAUUACGAGUUCAUCUUUAGAGACUUUGAAGGCAAGAUUAGUGAGAAUCCAGUGCGUGAUCGCUUCAACCAGUUUGUUGACAAAUAUGAAGAAUUCGUGAGUAACCAGGGGGGAAAAAACAGUUUAUAUAUAUCCUUUGUCAAGUACUGUUAGGCAGACACUUCUUUUCCAGCAGUUCUAAUUUUUCACAAUAUAAUGGGCGUGCAGAUGAAGGUGGUUGGUCAGCGGUUCCCCUGUGAAAUUAAACAUAAUGAACAUUGUAUUGCUAUUGUGGCAAAUGCACAAAUAUAUAGAAUGAUGGCGGGUCUCGUGUGGGAAGUAGUUAUGUUCGAUAAUUAUGAUGUUCAACAAGAGCUCGAAAGUAUGUUGGAGUUUUAUGAGGGGCUUUCCGGAUUUGAACAUAAUCCAUACACUGAUUCGGGGCCUGGACAUGAUGAUAUGAUGGAACCAAGCAAAUCACUAAAUGAUCAAAUAGGCGAACUACAGAUAUGAUAAACUCCGCUUUUAUUAUCCAUGUUCAGUGCUUGAUACAUUUUUAUUUGAGAUUUUUACCUAGGCCUGGGAUCGGUUUGGCUCGACUCGGGAAUGGGCCUGUACCGAAACCGAUACCGAGUUUAUGAUCGGCCCGGUUCGGUUUGGGAUGCUGAUGCGAUCAUACCGAUCAGUGCCAAAACCGAAUAGUUCGGUACCAAUCGGUUUCAAUAGUACUGUGAACCAAAGUUUUCAGAAACCUGAAAAAAUGCAGUAGACCAGCAGUAGGCAAAUUUGCCUGCCUUCCUAAUUA